rnacentral:rRNA from 1 species
UCGAGAAUCAUUCGCAAUGGGCGAAAGCCUGACGAUGCGACGCCGUGUGAGUGAAGAAGGCCUUCGGGUCGUAAAGCUCUUUCGCUUGGGAAUAAGAGAAGCAGGCUAAUAUCCUGUGGAUUUGAACGUACCAGGUAAAGAAGCACCGGCUAACUCCGUGCCAGCAGCUGCGGUAAUACGGAGGGUGCAAGCAUUAAUCGGAUUUAUUGGGCGUAAAGGGCGCGUAGGCGGGGAUGUAAGUCAGAUGUGAAAUCCCGGGGCUCAACCUCGGAACAGCAUUUGAAACUACAUUUCUUGAGGGUAGAAGGAGAAAACGGAAUUCCACAAGUAGCGGUGAAAUGCGUAGAUAUGUGGAAGAACACCGGUGGCGAAGGCGGUUUUCUAUUUUACUCCUGACGCUGAUGCGCGAAAGCAAGGGGAUCAAACAGGAUUAGAUACCCCUGUAGUCC